rnacentral:rRNA from 1 species
GAACUUUCCAGAGAUGGAUUGGUGCCUUCGGGAACUUAGAUACAGGUGCUGCAUGGCUGUUGUCAGCUCGUGUCGUGAGAUGUUGGGUUAAGUCCCGNAACGAGCCGCAACCCUUUUCCUUAUUUGCCAGCGGGUCAUGCCGGGAACUUUAAGGAUACUGCCAGUGACAAACUGGAGGAAGGCGGGGACGACGUCAAGUCAUCAUGGCCCUUACGGCCAGGGCUACACACGUGCUACAAUGGUCGGUACAAAGGGUUGCUACCUCGCGAGAGGAUGCUAAUCUCAAAAAGCCGAUCGUAGUCCGGAUCGCAGUCUGCAACUCGACUGCGUGAAGUCGGAAUCGCUAGUAAUCGCGGAUCAGAAUGCCGCGGUGAAUACGUUCCCGGGCCUUGUACACACCGCCCGUCACACCAUGGGAGUUUGUUGCACCAGAAGUAGGUAGUCUAACCGCAAGGAGGACGCUUACCACGGUGUGGCCGAUGACUGGGGUGAAGUCGUAACAAGGUAAGCGUAGAUGA